UGCAGUGUGCAGUUCGGGGCAGGGAUCAAUGUGGGCGGAGUCAAGCGCGUUUAACCGAACCCUUCCCGGCUCCUUCAAGGUCACCGUCAACGAAAGCGUAACUUAAAUCGAACCUAACCUACAUGGAUAAAAAUAUAAACCAUGGAAGUGACUGAGACUGUCAUUAUGCAUAAUGUACUUUGUAAUAUUCAUGUUAUACCAGUGCAGGGGUAUGUGUUUAUAUGACCAACUACCGCACCGAUGUUAGCAUACCGUUAAUUUGCACGCGAGCUAGCUAAUUGCUCACAAUGAGGGAAUGUUAUUUGGACAAAUUUGCCUACUUGAGCAACGAUACUGAAAACAAAAUGCACGGCGAACUGGGAGCUGUGAACUGGGAAAAGGGACACCCUAGAGGCAGCAAGGUGGUGUGAAUGCCAAACAUUUAAAGGCACCGUUUCCCUCCCUAGUGUAAUUGGGAUUCUCCUCAAGGAGCCAUUCACGUUCCAGUUACAGAGAGAUUAUGAGAUGUUCUAUGUGGAGGCAGUUGACAACAAGAAAAUGACUGUCUUUGCCUCUUGAAGAGCAGGAGUGAAGCCAUUUUUGAGGAGUGGUCAAACCUUGUUUUGUCUGCUGUGUUAAUUGUGUGGUUUAGUAAAGAUGACGUAGAAGUCACCCGAGUCUCUGAUCUCUUUACUGGAGCUGGUAUAACUUAAUGUACAAAGCACAUUCAGCUUGUCAGUAUGUCUAUAUAGUAUAGUGUCUCCAUUCUCAUGAGGAAAGUAAAUAGCAUUAUAAAUCAGGAUAGGUAGUAACUGUGUGUAUAU